UACGGGGGGGGCAAGCGUUGUUCGGAAUUACUGGGCGUAAAGGGCUCGUAGGCGGCCAACUAAGUCGGACGUGAAAUCCCCAGGCUUAACCUGGGAACUGCAUCCGAUACUGGAUGGCUUGAAUUCGGGAGAGGGAUGCAGAAUUCCAGGUGUAGCGGUGAAAUGCGUAGAUAUCUGGAGGAAUACCGGUGGCGAAGGCGGCAUCCUGGACCGACAUUGACGCUGAACGGCGAAAGCUAGGGGAGCAAACGGGAGUUAGAAAACCCCA
rnacentral:rRNA from 1 species